rnacentral:misc_RNA from 1 species
AUUAAUAUAUAUAGUAUAUGCAUAGAUAAUAUUAAAUAUGAUAUUUACAAAAUUUUAUUUCAGUAGUAUAUUUACUCGUAGUAAUAAAUUUAGGUCUGUAUGUAAGGUGAAAGAAAAAGGUUCAACAUUCUUUUUUAAUAAAAAUUUACGACUAAUAUCUUCGUCUAGCGAAGAUGCUACAUAUAUUGAAAAGCAAAUACAAGAAGUUUUUAAAUAUAAAAACCGUAAUGUCAGUAAUUGGAUUAUCGAGAAUAAAGCUAAUACUUUUUGCCAUGAAUAUCAUCAAAGUAAGCUAGCAGAUAAACAACGUACAUUACGUAUAUUAGCAUCCAAAUAUGCUGUUCAACAUGAUACUGUAUGCAGCAUAGCAGAAAAGCUAAUUUGUACAGAGUGUGAAAAUGAAAGACGGUUGAUUUCUUAUGAACAAAACUUAAAAAAUGCUCUUAGCCCAGAUUAUAAGUGGCUGUUUGUAAUCAUAGGAAGACUUGAAAAUGGUGUAAAAUUUCUUGUUGAUUUGCGAACAGAUAUUUUAGAGUUACUAUCAGAAAUUAAAGAAACAGAGGAUAGUAUUGCAAUACAGCAAUUAAACAUUACUCUACGGGAAUUAUUAUUACUUUGGUUUUCAGUAGGAUUUCUACAUUUAGAAAGAGUAACUUGGCAAAGUGCAUGUGACUUAUUACAAAAGAUUUCAGAUUAUGAAGCAAUACAUCCUGUAAAAAAUUGGUUAGAUUUGAAACAUAGAGUGGGACCAUAUAGAAGGUGUUACAUAUUCACUCAUCCAUCUAUGCCAAGAGAACCUCUUGUUGUAUUGCACACAGCAUUAUGUGAUAUUAUACCAAGUAGUGUAAAGGGUAUUGAAGAAGCAAAGGUCAGAAUCCUUGGUGAGUUCAAGAAAGAUAUAACAUUUUCAGAGGAACACAAAACCAAAAUAAAGGCUGCAAUAUUUUAUUCAAUAACUUCAACACAAAAAGGACUGCAGGGUAUAGAACUUGGAAAUUAUUUAAUAAAAGAAGUUGUAAAGCAAAUAAUCUCUGAAUUUCCUAUGAUAGAUGAACUAUCUAGUUUAUCACCAAUACCAAAUUUUAGAAGUUGGCUUCUUGAAAAGAUGAAACAAGACAUAAAUUUGAUUUUUACAAGUGAAGAAUAUAAGUCUGUACAAACAACUUUAAAUGACGAAAAUGUUGCAUUGUGCUUAAAAAAAAUUUUUAAUAAUUCAUUGUGGACCAAUGACGUAUCAUUAUGUGAAGUUUUAAAAGUACCAUUACUUCGAGCAUGUGCAUGGUACUUAUACAAAGAAAAAAGGCGAAACUACGCUUUGAACAGUCUAAUUUCCAUCUUCGGAACGGAGCUGUUAUGUGGAGAAUAAACUGGUUAGCUGAUCCUUCACCGCGUGGUGUUGCAAAUAGUUGUGGCAUUAUGGUGAACUAUAGGUACUAUUUAGACGAGUGUGAAAAAAAUAGUCAAAAUUAUAUUGAAAAUUAUUUCAUAAAUGCUUCCGAGAAUGUAAUUAAUCUUACUAUGCAGCAAGAAAAUUUACAAAAUACUGUACAAAAAAAAGGAUGUGAUAAAUAAUUGUCUUGCG